AGACUAAUCGAACCAUCUAGUAG
rnacentral:ncRNA from 4 species